AUGCAGAUUCAAAAUAAAGACAAAUUAUUGAUUUCAGAGAAGGCUAUAAAUGCAAUGCUGGUAUUUUUUUUUUGGGGGGGGGGGGGGGGGGGGGGGGGGGGGGGGGGGGGGGGGGGGGGGGGGGGGGGGGGGGGGGGGGGGGGGGGGGGGGGGGGGGGGGGGGGGGGGGGGGGGGGGGGGGGGGGGGGGGGGGGGGGGGGGGGGGGGGGGGGGGGGGGGGGGGGGGGGGGGGGGGGGGGGGGGGGGGGGGGGGGGGGGGGGGGGGGGGGGGGGGGGGGGGGGGGGGGGGGGGGGGGGGGGGGGGGGGGGGGGGGGGGGGGGGGGGGGGGGGGGGGGGGGGGGGGGGGGGGGGGGGGGGGGGGGGGGGGGGGGGGGGGGGGGGGGGGGGGGGGGGGGGGGGGGGGGGGGGGGGGGGGGGGGGGGGGGGGGGGGGGGGGGGGGGGGGGGGGGGGGGGGGGGGGGGGGGGGGGGGGGGGGGGGGGGGGGGGGGGGGGGGGGGGGGGGGGGGGGGGGGGGGGGGGGGGGGGGGGGGGGGGGGGGGGGGGGGGGGGGGGGGGGGGGGGGGGGGGGGGGGGGGGGGGGGGGGGGGGGGGGGGGGGGGGGGGGGGGGGGGGGGGGGGGGGGGGGGGGGGGGGGGGGGGGGGGGGGGGGGGGGGGGGGGGGGGGGGGGGGGGGGGGGGGGGGGGGGGGGGGGGGGGGGGGGGGGGGGGGGGGGGGGGGGGGGGGGGGGGGGGGGGGGGGGGGGGGGGGGGGGGGGGGGGGGGGGGGGGGGGGGGGGGGGGGGGGGGGGGGGGGGGGGGGGGGGGGGGGGGGGGGGGGGGGGGGGGGGGGGGGGGGGGGGGGGGGGGGGGGGGGGGGGGGGGGGGGGGGGGGGGGGGGGGGGGGGGGGGGGGGGGGGGGGGGGGGGGGGGGGGGGGGGGGGGGGGGGGGGGGGGGGGGGGGGGGGGGGGGGGGGGGGGGGGGGGGGGGGGGGGGGGGGGGGGGGGGGGGGGGGGGGGGGGGGGGGGGGGGGGGGGGGGGGGGGGGGGGGGGGGGGGGGGGGGGUUGAAGGUUAAAAUGACCAAAUACCAGUUUGUUGUCUCAGGCAAUGAAAAAAAAUCACAUAGCUUAAAGUUUACAGCAAAACUAUAUGAACACAAGAAAAAAAAAAUUAACUGUCAAAUGAAACCUUCAAAAGAACCUUCUAAAUGUACUAUAUGUGGUCAAAAGCCAUAG
rnacentral:lncRNA from 12 species